UGUACAGCCUCGUGACAUCUCGCAUGUUUGAAAUGUUGUCACGUGUUCCCCAAAUAAAACGCUUAUUUUUAAAGAUAAGAUGUCAAAGAGAACCAUCCAUCAGCAGUUGUGAAUUAUGUGAAUUUAAAAAAACAAAUUAAAUAGUUUUAAUUCAAAUAAUAAUUUUAAAAUAUAACAAAGCAGAAGUUAAUUUUUAGGAUAUUGUAUCGCUAAAACAACAUAUUUUCAAUUGGAAAACAAACCAGAAAAAAUCAACAGCGAGGUAUCGUUUCUUUACCCAUAAGUGUAUAUCAUUAAACCUCCGCAGCCUCAAGGGGAUCAAGCAUAAAAUAUGGCAAGUAUGCAGAAUUAUAUUCCCACUCCGCCUUUUUCAACUGUGCUGAAGGAGACAUAAUGUCAACAACAUGUUGAAAGUUGCAGUCAUGAGACAGGAACACUGGCUGAAGGGGACCUAGUGUUAGACGAUGUGAAGCAAUGGAGUCCUGACAAUGACUGUUAAACCAGGCUUGAGACAGGGGCACCGGAGCCAGGGAGGCGUCACAUGAACACAAUGGGCGUUGACUCAUAGUUGGAUGGGAGAACUGUAACCAGUCUGGCUCUCAUAAUAUACAGUGACAUAUUGCAUAUUGCUCCAUAUUCAAACUGACUGUGAGAACACAUUGCAUAAUAGUUUAUAUUCCUUGACUGUGUGAACACUGUGAACAUAUUACUCCCGGACUGGUGAACACAUGGAUCUAUUACCGGUACAGUUCUACUAAAGCUGAAUUAAUCCACUGGUCACAACCACACAGGAGUCCUAGUAAAGACUUAAUUGCAGAGCCAUCAUUCCAAAAUUUUGUUCCUAAACUGACAAUUGACCAGCCACUACCCCUGUAACGAAUCAGUAUUUACAAACAGAAAACACAAACAUGGAAAUUGUAUAACGCUUGUUCAGGAAUCACUUGGGACACCAUGCUGUACAGGGAUUGAAAUUGCUUGUAUCUGAGUGCACACAGCAUGGUCACAGAAGGAUUCCAUGAAAGUCACAUUUUGUCUUUUGGAGUAGAGUAGAAGCCAGAGACUUAAAUCUCAAAGGGCACACCUCAAGAUUCAUAGGAAGGCCUGUGGCAGACUUAAAUCUCAAAGGGCACACCUCAAGAUUCAUAGGAAGGCCUGUGGCAGACUUAAAUCUCAAAGGGCACACCUCAAGAUUCAUAGGAAGCCCUGUGGCAGACUUAAAUCUCAACGGGCACACCUCAAGAUCCACUUGAAGCCCUGUGGCAGACUUGACAGAAACAUACAUUUCCAUGGCUGUUGUUCCUGUAGUACCUUCUCUGAAGACAAGAAGUCAUGGUGUUUCCCUGAAGGACAUCAGUGUUGUCUAGCAUCUACUGAAGGUAGGGAGAGCAAAAGGAAUGCUUGCUAAAUCUUUGAAGAAAUCCUUCAUUAGUUGGCUAAGGAAGUGAAAUGACUUCCGUCCCUACACAGUGAUUGAGUGAGUUGGGUUCCAGUUAUAUCACGGCGUGUCAGCUUAAUGUAGGAGGAACGCCCAAAAUGACGUAGGUCUUAGACGUUUACCACUUCGGUCUAACCCAUGAACACGG